AGCAGCCGCGGUAAUUCCAGCUCCAAUAGCGUAUAUUAAAGUUGUUGCAGUUAAAAAGCUCGUAGUUGAAUUUCGGGAUCGAAUUGUCGGUCGUGCUUCGGUACGCACUGGCAUUAUCGGUUUCUACCUUCUGAAGAACCGCGAUGUCAUUAAUUUGGUGUCGUGGGGAAUCAGGACUGUUACUUUGAAAAAAUUAGAGUGUUUAAAGCAGGCUUACGCUUGAAUACAUUAGCAUGGAAUAAUGAAAUAGGACGUUUGAUUCUAUUUUGUUGGUUUCUAGGAUCGACGUAAUGAUUAAUAGGGAUAGUUGGGGGCAUUAAUAUUCAAUUGUCAGAGGUGAAAUUCUUGGAUUUAUUGAAGACUAACUACUGCGAAAGCAUUUGCCAAGGAUGUUUUCAUUAAUCAAGAACGAAAGUUAGGGGAUCGAAGACGAUCAGAUACCGUCGUAGUCUUAACCAUAAACUAUGCCGACUAGGGAUCGGAUGAUGUUAAUUUUAUAGUGACUC
rnacentral:rRNA from 1 species